GCCCUCCCCAACGCUGCGUUUCCAUGCUACAAACAGAGAGACACGCCUCGCGCUGUCUCUCAAUCACUCUUCGCAUGUGGGAAAUUCGGAGUAAGCCUCACCCAUCACCGACAGCUAGCAUCCUGCUAGAACCGUCGGUCUGCCGGUAACGGCCUGGCGUCAAUGUCACGUCUGCAAAAGAUAUCAGAAAUACUCAGAGCGCGUGCUUUCGUCACGCUGCCUCUAUGGGAACGUCUUUGCGAGGCUCGUUUUGGGAAAAACUGAAGUGCGAUACGCGGCGUCCUGUCCCCUUGCGGGCUGGAUGACUCAAUUCCGAUCACUCUGGGGAGGGU
rfam:Fusarium oxysporum f. sp. raphani 54005 unplaced genomic scaffold supercont1.119, whole genome shotgun sequence.